UACGUAGGGUGCGAGCGUUGUCCGGAAUUAUUGGGCGUAAAGAGCUCGUAGGCGGUGUGUCACGUCGGCCGUGAAAACCUGGGGCUCAACUCUGGGCGUGCGGUCGAUACGGGCAUCACUAGAGUUCGGCAGGGGAGACUGGAAUUCCUGGUGUAGCGGUGAAAUGCGCAGAUAUCAGGAGGAACACCAAUGGCGAAGGCAGCUCGCUGGGACGGUACUGACGCUGAGGCGACGAAAGCGUGGGGAGCAAACAGG
rnacentral:rRNA from 1 species